CUUUCGAUUUUCUUUCGUAUCGAGUUCAAAUACUAGGCGUGACGAAAGAUGGAUUUUGUAUGAAAUAACGUAGUACGAACCUAAUUUUGACAAUCAACGUCGUUUCGUUGUCGUUGAAAUCAUCGAAUGUUGUGUCACUGUCAAUUUUGUUGUGAGAAGAUUACGUUGAUAUAAAUUUUACGUGUUUUUGAGGCUUAAAUGUGGAGAUUAUGUGGUCGGCGAAUUUAUUUCCUUGUUUGGCAUCAUUUAGAUUGUUUAGAUGCUUUAAGUUAAGAGAUUAGGAAGCAUCCCAACACGAUACCGCCUCAAAGUCAAUAAACCUGCAUUUUAGUAGAUUUUUUUUUAUGCAUAACAAGGCAGGUAUUUGACCACAAUCGCACAUGAUGUUAAGAGGGAUGCAGUCUAGGAUGGUACAUAUCUGCCCUGUAAGAUACCUACUUAUGUGACAAAUUGCCGGAAAGAUAGUCUUAUGGCAACAAAAAGAGUGUCCUUGGAACACAAGGUUAUAUUAUGUGCUAUGCAUUAAGAUGCAUCCAGUUCAUACCAAGGCACUGAUGGUAUGAAGAAGCAUUUGGAAUUACUUAACCAAUGCUCUCAAUACCCCCAACAUACUCGGAGAAGUAGGUAGGUACUCAUGCCUACAUAAGAUUUAUCCAUGAACUAUUUUAUACAAAUGUACAUAUGCAUUCAGUUCUU